UAUCUUCUACGACAAUUCUGUUCCAAACUAAUGCAAUAAUAAUGUUCAAAUAAUAACAUUAACAAAAAACAGAAUACCACGAAUAGAAUUUUACAACAAAAUUAUAGUACAUCAACGAAUGUAAGGACCUACAGAAAUAUGAGCUCAGGACUUGGAAACAAAAAGAAACAAAAAACACAACCCGUUUAUACAAAACUAAAGUCGAGUAUCAGUUUACUAGCUCAAACCAAACCCACAAAAGCUAUGAGAUCUAUAGGCCCCAAAUCACCAAGUUUUAUUUCAUGACUUUCUUCACAACCCAAAAUAUCAUUUAUAAUACUUCACACAGUUCGAGACAUUCUAAACUCACAUGUCCAUUAUUAUGAAUCGUUAAUAAGUCCUAACACCAACAGCCUAGGGAGAUAAAUAGCUGACAAUUUACAACCACAAUAUAUUCAAGCAAAAUACAUAACGCAAUAUCAAAAUUCAUUUUUGUUUAUACUCAGAGAUCAAAGAGAUAGAAAACUUACAUGGAGAAACUGAAACCUGGUAAUCAAAAUUGGAACUUGGUAAGCAAAAACUUCUGCCGAUUAAGAGCAAAAAUUGAAGGAGAUGAAGGCUUUCUGCAAUAAUUCUUGAAACCUACACGAAACAGAAGACGUUCAGCGCGAAGAUUGAAGGAGAAGAUUGACAGAGAAGACUAAUAAUAUCUACCCAAAAUUAUAUACAACUAGAUCGAGAACGACCUGGGAUGGCCGGAGACCGUGCAUGGCGAAGGUUUUUCAGUGAUGCUGCACAUGUUUUCCGUCGUUCUUCCUAUCACUCUAAUUACAGCCGUCGUUCUAUAUCAUUCUAAUUACAGGGAAAGUUAAAUAAUAAAAAAUA
rnacentral:lncRNA from 1 species